rnacentral:rRNA from 1 species
CGGCGGACGGGUGAGUAACGCGUGGGUAACCUGCCUUGUACUGGGGGACAACAGUUGGAAACGACUGCUAAUACCGCAUAAGCGCACAGCUUCGCAUGAAGCAGUGUGAAAAACUCCGGUGGUACAAGAUGGACCCGCGUCUGAUUAGCUGGUUGGUGAGGUAACGGCCCACCAAGGCGACGAUCAGUAGCCGGCCUGAGAGGGUGAACGGCCACAUUGGGACUGAGACACGGCCCAA